rnacentral:rRNA from 1 species
GGGCAGUGCGGUCGCAAGACUAAAACUCAAAGGAGUUGACGCGGACUUGCACAAGCGGUGGAUGAUGUGGAGUAAUUCGAUGCAACGUGACAAACCUUACCUACCCUUGACAUGGAAGGAAUCCUUGAGAGAUUGAGGAGUGCCCGAAAGGGAACCUUCACACAGGUGCUGCAUGGCUGUCGUCAGCUCGUGUCGUGAGAUGUUGGGUUAAGUCCCGCAACGAGCGCAACCCUUGUCAUUAGUUGCUACGUUUAGUUGAGCACUCUAAUGAGACUGCCGGUGACAAACCGGAGGAAGGUGGGGAUGACGUCAAGUCCUCAUGGCCCUUAUGGGUAGGGCUUCACACGUCAUACAAUGGUACAUACAGAGGGCCGCCAACCCGCGAGGGGGAGCUAAUCCCAGAAAGUGUAUCGUAGUCCGGAUUGUAGUCUGCAACUCGACUACAUGAAGUUGGAAUCGCUAGUAAUCGCGGAUCAGCAUGUCGCGGUGAAUACGUUCCCGGGUCUUGUACACACCGCCCGUCACACCAUGGGAGCGGGUUUUACCAGAAGUAGGUAGCUUAACCGCAAGGAGGGCGCUACCACGGUACGAUAUAUUCGUAAG